CCGGCCGACCACCUGCGG
rnacentral:misc_RNA from 1 species